rnacentral:rRNA from 1 species
UACAGAGGGGGCAAGCGUUGUUCGGAAUUACUGGGCGUAAAGCGUGCGUAGACGGUUAUUUAAGUCGGGUGUGAAAGCCCCGGGCUCAACCUGGGAAUUGCAUUCGAGACUGAAUAGCUAGGGUACGGUAGAGGGAAGCGGAAUUUCCGGUGUAGCGGUGAAAUGCGUAGAUAUCGGAAGGAACAUCAGUGGCGAAAGCGGCUUCCUGGACCAGUACCGACGUCAGGCACGAAAGCGUGGGGAGCAAACAGG